UCCGGCUCUGAGCAUUGUGCAGCCGGGGCUCGAUGCGCCCACACUCUCCAGGGUGGUGGCAGGCAGCGCUGACGGCGGUGCGCCCCGGGGUCCCUGCGCGGCCUCGGCGGGGUGGAAGCAGGCUUCCCGCAGCCGACCCAAUGAUGGUUGGGCUUCGGGUCACGUGACAGCCUCAUUGUAGCUCCGGAAGAGAACGUGAAGUUUAGGUUGCCUGGAAGAAGCAGUAAUAAGGAGACUGAAAGGGAGAACAAAAAAAAUCAAGAUUUUGGGGAAAUUACCCACAGAGAUGCAAGGGAAAAAGAAAAAGGAAAAGGAAAAACUGUGCAUCUGCUGGAAUCUCUUUUCUACUGAGAUGGGGGAAAUUAUCCAGGAUGAGAAAGACUCACAAAACAAUUUGAACACUAUUCUUCUCUGGAUUCAAAGGGGAGGCUGUUUACUGAGGUUCCCAACAGC
rnacentral:lncRNA from 1 species